rnacentral:rRNA from 1 species
GGGAUGGGCCCGCGUCUGAUUAGGCAGUUGGCGGGGUAACGGCCCACCAAACCGACGAUCAGUAGCCGGCCUGAGAGGGCAACCGGCCACAUUGGGACUGAGACACGGCCCAAACUCCUACGGGAGGCAGCAGUGGGGAAUAUUGCACAAUGGGGGGAACCCUGAUGCAGCGACGCCGCGUGGGUGAAGGAGUAUUUCGGUAUGUAAAGCCCUAUCAGCAGGGAAGAACAAUGACGGUACCUGACUAAGAAGCACCGGCUAAAUACGUGCCAGCAGCCGCGGUAAUACGUAUGGUGCAAGCGUUAUCCGGAUUUACUGGGUGUAAAGGGAGCGCAGGCGGCGCGUUAAGCCUGGUGUGAAAGCCCGCGGCCCAACCGCGGGACUGCAUUGGGAACUGGCGCGCUGGAGUGCCGGAGGGGUAGGCGGAAUUCCUAGUGUAGCGGUGAAAUGCGUAGAUAUUAGGAGGAACACCAGUGGCGAAGGCGGCCUACUGGACGGUGACUGACGCUGAGGCUCGAAAGCGUGGGGAGCAAACAGGAUUAGAUACCCUGGUAGUCCACGCCGUAAAC